rnacentral:tRNA from 1 species
CAAUUAAUGAUGAUGGACUGUAAAUCCUUUUUAGAAUCUAAAUUAAUAACAUCCC